CCUACGGGAGGCAGCAGUGGGGAAUAUUGCACAAUGGGGGAAACCCUGAUGCAGCGACGCCGCGUGAGUGAAGAAGUAAUUCGUUAUGUAAAGCUCUAUCAGCAGGGAAGAAAAUGACGGUACCUGAGUAAGAAGCCCCGGCUAACUACGUGCCAGCAGCCGCGGUAAUACGUAGGGGGCAAGCGUUAUCCGGAUUUACUGGGUGUAAAGGGAGCGUAGACGGCAGUGCAAGUCUGGAGUGAAAGGCGGGGGGUCAACCCCCGGACUGCUCUGGAAACUGUACGGCUGGAGUGCAGGAGAGGUAAGUGGAAUUCCUAGGGUAGCGGUGAAAUGCGUAGAUAUUAGGAGGAACACCAGUGGCGAAGGCGGCUUACUGGACUGUAACUGACGUUGAGGCUCGAAAGCGUGGGGAGCAAACAGGAUUAGAUACCCCUGUAGUC
rnacentral:rRNA from 1 species